UGGUGGAGUGAUUUGUCUGCUUAAUUGCGAUAACGAACGAGACCUUAACCUGCUAAAUAGCCCGGCCCGCUUUUGCGGGUCGCCGGCUUCUUAGAGGGACUAUCGGAUUUCAAGUCGAUGGAAGUUUGAGGCAAUAACA
rnacentral:rRNA from 1 species